AGUGAACGUUGGCGGCGUGGAUUAGGCAUGCAAGUCGAGCGAGAACCGUAGCAAUACGGGGACAGCGGCGAAAGGGACAGUAAUGUGUAGGUACCUACCCCGAGGUCUGGGAUAGCUGCGGGAAACUGCAGGUAAUACCGGAUAAUGUCUUCGGACCAAAGGUGUGAUUCCACCUUGGGAGGGGCCUGCAUCCUAUUAGCUAGUUGGCGGGGUAAUGGCCCACCAAGGCAACGAUGGGUAGCGGGUGUUAGAGCACGACCCGCGUCAUUGGGACUGAGACACUGCCCAGACACCUACGGGUGGCUGCAGUCGAGGAUCUUCGGCAAUGGGCGAAAGCCUGACCGAGCGACGCCGCGUGCGGGAUGAAGGCCUUCGGGUUGUAAACCGCUGUCGUAGAGGAGGAAAUGCAGGGGGGUUCUCCCUUCUGUUUGACCUAUUCUGGGAGGAAGUACGGGCUAAGUUCGUGCCAGCAGCCGCCGUAA
rnacentral:rRNA from 1 species